rnacentral:rRNA from 1 species
CUUACAAGCUGUGGAAGCACAUUUCUUGUGUGACCGCGUACUUUUUGUAGAACGGGCCAACGAGUUACGUUAAGUAGCAAGGUUAAGCACUUAAGGUGCGGAGCCGUAGCGAAAGCGAGUUUUAACUGAGCGUUCAGUUACUUGACGUAGACCCGAAACCGGGCGACCUACCCAUGAGCAGGAUGAAGCGAAAGUAAAAUUUCGUGGAGGUCCGAACCCACGAGCGUUGAAAAGCUCGGGGAUGACUUGUGGGUAGCGGUGAAAUUCCAAUCGAGCCCGGAGAUAGCUGGUUCUCCCCGAAAUAGCUUUAGGGCUAGCCUCAAGGUGAGAGAUACGGAGGUAGAGCACUGAAUGUCCUAGGGGGUAUUGCACCUACCGAAGACUAUCAAACUCCGAAUGCCGUCAUCUUAUACUUGGGAGUCAGACUGUGGGUGAUAAGAUUCAUAGUCGAAAGGGCAACAGCCCAGAUCGUCAGCUAAGGUCCCUAAAUGUAAGUUAAGUGGUAAAGGAUGUGGGAUUGCACAGACAACCAGGAUGUUGGCUUAGAAGCAGCCACUCAUUCAAAGAGUGCGUAAUAGCUCACUGGUCGAGUGAUCCUGCGCCGAAGAUUUCCGGGGCUAAAACUUACUACCGAAGCUACGGCAUCAGUAAUGAUGGGUAGGGGAGCUUCCCAUACGGGUUGAAGCAUGACCGUAAGGACAUGUGGACAGUAUGGGAGUGAGAAUGUUGGCAUGAGUAGCGAGAUGUGGGUGAGAAUCCCACAGGCCGUAAACCCAAGGUUUCCAGGGGAAGGUUCGUCCGCCCUGGGUUAGUCGGGACCUAAGCUGAGGCCGAAAGGCGUAGGUGAUGGACAACAGGUUGAUAUUCCUGUACUACCGAUAACCGUUUGAGAGAAGGGAUGACACAGUAGGAUAAGCUAAGCACACUGUUGGUUAUGUGUGCCCAAGCAUUGAGGCAGUCAAAGUAGGCAAAUCCGCUUUGAUAAUGCUGGGAUGUGAUGGGGAGCGAAAUUUAGUAGCGAAGUAGCUGAUUUCACACUGUCAAGAAAAGUCUCUAUCGAGGUUAAAGGUACCCGUACCGCAAACCGACACAGGUGGGUGAGGAGAGUAUCCUAAGGCCAGCGAGAGAACUGUUGUUAAGGAACUCGGCAAAAUGACCCCGUAACUUAGGGAUAAGGGGUGCCACCAUCAGGUGGCCGCAGAGAAUAGGCCCAAGCGACUGUUUACCAAAAACAUAGGUUUCUGCUAAGUCGCAAGACGAUGUAUAGGAGCUGACGCCUGCCCGGUGCUGGAAGGUUAAGGGGAUCUGUUAGAGCAAUCGAAGCAGUGAACUUAAGCCCCAGUAAACGGCGGCCGUAACUAUAACGGUCCUAAGGUAGCGAAAUUCCUUGUCGGGUAAGUUCCGACCCGCACGAAAGGCGUAACGAUUUGGGCACUGUCUCAACAACAGACUCGGUGAAAUUGUAAUUCCGGUGAAGAUGCCGGAUACCUGCGACAGGACGGAAAGACCCCAUGGAGCUUUACUGUAGCUUGACAUUGGGUCUUGGUACUACAUGUACAGGAUAGGUGGGAGGCUUUGAAACCAGGACGCCAGUUUUGGCGGAGCCAUCCUUGGGAUACCACCCUUGUAGUACUGGGACUCUAACCAUAGGCCAUGAAUCUGGUCUUGGGACACUGUCAGGUGGGCAGUUUGACUGGGGCGGUCGCCUCCCAAAAGGUAACGGAGGCGCUCAAAGGUUCUCUCAGUACGGUCGGAAAUCGUACGUAGAGUGUAAAGGCAAAAGAGAGCUUGAUUGCAAGACAUACAGGUCGAGCAAGGAUGAAAAUCGGACUUAGUGAUCCGGUGGUUCUGCGUGGAAGGGCCAUCGCUCAACGGAUAAAAGCUACCCUGGGGAUAACAGGCUUAUCUCCCCCAAGAGUCCACAUCGACGGGGAGGUUUGGCACCUCGAUGUCGGCUCAUCACAUCCUGGGGCUGUAGUAGGUCCCAAGGGUUGGGCUGUUCGCCCAUUAAAGUGGUACGCGAGCUGGGUUCAGAACGUCGUGAGACAGUUCGGUCCCUAUCCGUCGCAGGCGUAGGAAAUUUGAGAAGACCUGUCCUUAGUACGAGAGGACCGGGAUGGACGUACCUCUGGUGUACCAGUUGUUCUGCCAAGGGCAUGGCUGGGUAGCUAUGUACGGAAUGGAUAAGCGCUGAAAGCAUCUAAGCGCGAAGCCAACUUCAAGAUAAGAUUUCCCACCGCAAGGGUAAGACCCCAGAAAGACUAUCUGGUUGAUAGGUCGAAGGUGUAAGUGCAGCAAUGUAUUUAGCUUAUCGAUACUAAUAGGUCGAGGACUUGACCAA